rnacentral:lncRNA from 1 species
AUUCAUUCAGAUCUAGGAUGUGUUGUUUAAGUGUUCCCUUUAUUUUUUUGAGCAGUAUAUAUUGUUACAGGAGAUAAGAGAGGGUGGACAGAUAACUGUGCACAAUAUAGGGAGUUGAACGUUACACAUACCCAGAUCAUGGUGAAAGUAGCAGACAUAGUGUUGACAUUUCAGACACUAUUGUCAACUUUCAAGAAACCUGUGACUCAGAGUUUUGUUAGGUUGGAUAUUAUUCCAGCGUCAUUAAUCUCUUUCCCAAUUUCUAACAGUCGGCAAACACUUGACAGAUUACAUGCAGUAGUUAUUCUGAGGCUAUAGUAAUGGGCCAUGUUAGUAGUAGCAGGGGUUACUUUAGUAGCAUUGUUGGGAUAUCAUUUUAUGAGGACUCAUGCCACAUGGCUUGGUAGCUGGUAACUGGGGGACUGAUGGGAGUACCGAGGGCUGUUAUUCACGUCACAAAUUAGUGAUCUGGGCUAAGGGGAGAGUCUAUGUUGUCAGGAAAGGACCCAUGCGUUGCAGUGUGUAUAUUCCCAGGUGGAAGCGGCACAUGAGGAGCAGAAGAUAACCGAGGGCACAGGCUGAAUUCUGGAGAUUGAGUGUACAUCAAGAUACACCAGGCAGGGUGUGGAUCAGCGUAAAUUCUCCUUACAGCACCUGAAGCGGUAAAGAUCAUCAUGUCUUUCCUUGGUGGGUUCACAGUUCUCACGUGCAGUGAGGUCCAGCUGCAUAAUGGGAACCAGAAGGAGAAGGGAAUAGAAGUCAACAGCUACAGCCGACAUGUUAUUAUCAGUGUUCUAUGAGGAAUGGAAAUGAGUGUGCUUGGUGUGAUCAUAGAACAGAGGCCAUAAGUCUCUGAGUUUGUAAACUUCACUGUGAAUGUUAAUUAUGUGAAUUUUUUGUUCAUGUUCUAUUAUCAGUGUUUGUCCAUUUAUAAGUCAUUUCCAAGUGUAUGUAAUGUUGAACAGUAUGAUAUCAGAUGUUCAAAAAUGGGGGACUGAUAGGUUUGGUUUCUGAGCUUUAACUAUUAUUAAUCAUUAGUUAUAAAAGAGACAUGAGGAGUGCCAUAAUGAAGCUUGGGAGGGGCUGAGUGCAGGGAACACGGUCACAUGUGGCAGUACUGAUAAGGGGAUGAACUGUUUAAGGCCCAUAUCACUCAGCUCCCUGACUAGCAAUAAUGAUGCAAUGUUUAGAGAUAAGGAGGACACUCCACCCAAAGUGGGGUAUGCAUACUACCACGGGUGAAACCAUGUCUUUGUCUGAUGCAGAUGUAUUGACCCUUUGGGAAGAAUAAACUUGGUUUAAGCUUU